rnacentral:rRNA from 1 species
GGCGUGACGACGAGGCACUACGGUGCUGAAGCAACAAAUGCCCUGCUUCCAGGAAAAGCCUCUAAGCAUCAGGUAACACGAAAUCGUACCCCAAACCGACACAGGUGGUCAGGUAGAGAAUACCAAGGCGCUUGAGAGAACUCGGGUGAAGGAACUAGGCAAAAUGGUGCCGUAACUUCGGGAGAAGGCACGCUGACACGUAGGUGAAGUGAUUUACUCAUGGAGCUGAAGUCAGUCGAAGAUACCAGCUGGCUGCAACUGUUUAUUAAAAACACAGCACUGUGCAAACACGAAAGUGGACGUAUACGGUGUGACGCCUGCCCGGUGCCGGAAGGUUAAUUGAUGGGGUCAGCGCAAGCGAAGCUCCUGAUCGAAGCCCCGGUAAACGGCGGCCGUAACUAUAACGGUCCUAAGGUAGCGAAAUUCCUUGUCGGGUAAGUUCCGACCUGCACGAAUGGCGUAAUGAUGGCCAGGCUGUCUCCACCCGAGACUCAGUGAAAUUGAACUCGCUGUGAAGAUGCAGUGUACCCGCGGCAAGACGGAAAGACCCCGUGAACCUUUACUAUAGCUUGACACUGAACAUUGAGCCUUGAUGUGUAGGAUAGGUGGGAGGCUUUGAAGUGUGGACGCCAGUCUGCAUGGAGCCGACCUUGAAAUACCACCCUUUAAUGUUUGAUGUUCUAACGUGGACCCGUAAUCCGGGUUGCGGACAGUGUCUGGUGGGUAGUUUGACUGGGGCGGUCUCCUCCUAAAGAGUAACGGAGGAGCACGAAGGUUGGCUAAUCCUGGUCGGACAUCAGGAGGUUAGUGCAAUGGCAUAAGCCAGCUUGACUGCGAGCGUGACGGCGCGAGCAGGUGCGAAAGCAGGUCAUAGUGAUCCGGUGGUUCUGAAUGGAAGGGCCAUCGCUCAACGGAUAAAAGGUACUCCGGGGAUAACAGGCUGAUACCGCCCAAGAGUUCAUAUCGACGGCGGUGUUUGGCACCUCGAUGUCGGCUCAUCACAUCCUGGGGCUGAAGUAGGUCCCAAGGGUAUGGCUGUUCGCCAUUUAAAGUGGUACGCGAGCUGGGUUUAGAACGUCGUGAGACAGUUCGGUCCCUAUCUGCCGUGGGCGCUGGAGAACUGAGGGGGGCUGCUCCUAGUACGAGAGGACCGGAGUGGACGCAUCACUGGUGUUCGGGUUGUCAUGCCAAUGGCACUGCCCGGUAGCUAAAUGCGGAAGAGAUAAGUGCUGAAAGCAUCUAAGCACGAAACUUGCCCCGA